rnacentral:rRNA from 1 species
UGGGGAAUCUUAGACAAUGGGCGCAAGCCUGAUCUAGCCAUGCCGCGUGAGCGAUGAAGGCCUUAGGGUUGUAAAGCUCUUUCAGUGGGGAAGAUAAUGACUGUACCCACAGAAGAAGCCCCGGCUAACUCCGUGCCAGCAGCCGCGGUAAUACGGAGGGGGCUAGCGGUGUUCGGAAUUACUGGGCGUAAAGCGCACGUAGGCGGAUGGACAAGUCAGAGGUGAAAUCCCAGGGCUCAACCUUGGAACUGCCUUUGAAACUUUCCAUCUUGAGGUCGAGAGAGGUGAGUGGAAUUCCGAGUGUAGAGGUGAAAUUCGUAGAUAUUCGGAGGAACACCAGUGGCGAAGGCGGCUCACUGGCUCGAUACUGACGCUGAGGUGCGAAAGCGUGGGGAGCAAACAGG